rnacentral:rRNA from 1 species
AGUGCAAUGGCAUAAGCCAGCUUGACUGCGAGCGUGACGGCGCGAGCAGGUGCGAAAGCAGGUCAUAGUGAUCCGGUGGUUCUGAAUGGAAGGGCCAUCGCUCAACGGAUAAAAGGUACUCCGGGGAUAACAGGCUGAUACCGCCCAAGAGUUCAUAUCGACGGCGGUGUUUGGCACCUCGAUGUCGGCUCAUCACAUCCUGGGGCUGAAGUAGGUCCCAAGGGUAUGGCUGUUCGCCAUUUAAAGUGGUACGCGAGCUGGGUUUAGAACGUCGUGAGACAGUUCGGUCCCUAUCUGCCGUGGGCGCUGGAGAACUGAGGGGGGCUGCUCCUAGUACGAGAGGACCGGAGUGGACGCAUCACUGGUGUUCGGGUUGUCAUGCCAAUGGCACUGCCCGGUAGCUAAAUGCGGAAGAGAUAAGUGCUGAAAGCAUCUAAGCACGAAACUUGCCCCGAGAUGAGUUCUCCCUGAGACUUAGAGUCUCCUGAAGGAACGUUGAAGACGACGACGUUGAUAGGCCGGGUGUGUAAGCGCAGCGAUGCGUUGAGCUAACCGGUACUAAUGAACCGUGAGGCUUAACCUUACAAC